rnacentral:rRNA from 1 species
UGGGGAAUAUUGCACAAUGGGCGAAAGCCUGAUGCAGCAACGCCGCGUGAGCGAUGAAGGCCUUUGGGUCGUAAAGCUCUGUCCUUGGGGAAGAAAAAAAUGACGGUACCCUUGGAGGAAGCCCCGGCUAACUACGUGCCAGCAGCCGCGGUAAUACGUAGGGGGCAAGCGUUAUCCGGAAUUAUUGGGCGUAAAGAGUGCGUAGGUGGUUUUAUAAGCGCGAGGUGAAAGGCAAUGGCUCAACUAUUGUAAGCCUUGCGAACUGUAAGACUUGAGUGCAGGAGAGGAAAGUGGAAUUCCUAGUGUAGCGGUGAAAUGCGUAGAUAUUAGGAGGAACACCAGUGGCGAAGGCGACUUUCUGGACUGUAACUGACACUGAGGCACGAAAGCGUGGGGAGCAAACAGG